ACAUGCAGUCGAGCGAAUGGAUUAGAGAGCUUGCUCUNANGAAGUUAGCGGCGGACGGGUGAGUAACACGUGGGUAACCUGCCCAUAAGACUGGGAUAACUCCGGGAAACCGGGGCUAAUACCGGAUAAYAUUUUGAACUGCAUGGUUCGAAAUUGAAAGGCGGCUUCGGCUGUCACUUAUGGAUGGACCCGCGUCGCAUUAGCUAGUUGGUGAGGUAACGGCUCACCAAGGCAACGAUGCGUAGCCGACCUGAGAGGGUGAUCGGCCACACUGGGACUGAGACACGGCCCAGACUCCUACGGGAGGCAGCAGUAGGGAAUCUUCCGCAAUGGACGAAAGUCUGACGGAGCAACGCCGCGUGAGUGAUGAAGGCUUUCGGGUCGUAAAACUCUGUUGUUAGGGAAGAACAAGUGCUAGUUGAAUAAGCUGGCACCUUGACGGUACCUAACCAGAAAGCCACGGCUAACUACGUGCCAGCAGCCGCGGUAAUACGUAGGUGGCAAGCGUUAUCCGGAAUUAUUGGGCGUAAAGCGCGCGCAGGUGGUUUCUUAAGUCUGAUGUGAAAGCCCACGGCUCAACCGUGGAGGGUCAUUGGAAACUGGGAGACUUGAGUGCAGAAGAGGAAAGUGGAAUUCCAUGUGUAGCGGUGAAAUGCGUA
rnacentral:rRNA from 1 species